rnacentral:rRNA from 1 species
GUGCCAGCCGCCGCGGUAAUACAGAGGGUGCUAGCGUUGUUCGGAAUUAUUGGGCGUAAAGCGCGUGUAGGCGGCCAUGCCAGUCGGGUGUGAAAGCCCUCGGCUCAACCGAGGAAGUGCGCCCGAAACUACGUGGCUUGAGUUCCGGAGAGGAUGGCGGAAUACCCGGUGUAGAGGUGAAAUUCGUAGAUAUCGGGUGGAACACCAGUGGCGAAGGCGGCCAUCUGGACGGAUACUGACGCUGAGACGCGAAAGCGUGGGGAGCAAACAGGAUUAGAAACCCCCGUAGUCC